ACGAACGCUGGCGGCGUGCUUAACACAUGCAAGUCGAACGGGCCCGCUCUCUUUUUUGGGGGUGGGUUGAGUGGCGAACGGGUGAGUAUCACGUGAGUAACCUGCCCCCUGCUCCUGGAUAACUGCUUGAAAGGGCGGCUAAUACGGGGUGUGCCGGCUGGUCCGCAUGGGCCUGGUCGGGAUAGUUUCAUCUUCGGGUGUUUCGGUGGGGGAUGGGCUCGCGGCCUAUCAGCUUGUUGGUGGGGUGAUGGCCCACCAAGGCGGUGACGGGUAGCCGGCCUGAGAGGGUGGGCGGCCACACUGGGACUGAGACACGGCCCAGACUCCUGCGGGAGGCAGCAGUGGGGGGUAUUGCACAAUGGGCGGAAGCCUGAUGCAGCGACGGCGCGUGAGGGAUGGAGGCCUUCGGGUUGUGAACCUCUUUCUCCGGUGGUGAAGGCCCUGUCCGUUGCGGCGGGGUUGACGGUAGCCGGGUAUGAAGCGCCGGCUAACUACGUG
rnacentral:rRNA from 1 species